GAAGCUGCAUGUUUUGACAACACGUUGCCAAGUUAUUCGAAGCAAACUGUGCAAGAAAGGAAACACCAAGAUGAUUGUAGUUGCGAAUCUUUUCUUUUUUUGUAUCCAGUGGGCGUAUCAGAAGAUCGAAACACAGUUCAAAAUCCUCGGGUCGACUUUGACCAAGGAAGAUCGCUAUCGAAUUAUGAGAGAGGGAUCUAGUGUUGAUGCCAUUCCCCGAUCAAGCGUAAGCUUGUUGAAAAAAUGAAUGGAUACAACUAAGAAAAAAACCUCGGAAAGCAUUCACUUUGGAUUUUUGGACUGACAGUAAAAUUACUGAUGUAAAUGUGUAUCUAUGUCUUUUAUAAAGGACAGCUAUAUGAGUUAAAAAAAAAAAUGUCAUUUUUUCGUGUAAUUUAUUACUGUAGAAAAAAAACUUUCAAAUUUAAAUAAAUUUAUUUUUCUUCA